GGGGAAUUUUCCGCAAUGGGCGAAAGCCUGACGGAGCAACGCCGCGUGAGGGAUGAAGGCCUCUGGGCUGUAAACCUCUUUUCUCAAGGAAGAAGAUCUGACGGUACUUGAGGAAUAAGCCACGGCUAAUUCCGUGCCAGCAGCCGCGGUAAUACGGGAGUGGCAAGCGUUAUCCGGAAUUAUUGGGCGUAAAGCGUCCGCAGGCGGUCUUGUAAGUCUGUCGUUAAAGCGUGGAGCUUAACUCCAUUUCAGCGAUGGAAACUGCAAGACUAGAGUGUGGUAGGGGCAGAGGGAAUUCCCGGUGUAGCGGUGAAAUGCGUAGAUAUCGGGAAGAACACCAGUGGCGAAGGCGCUCUGCUGGGCCAUAACUGACGCUCAUGGACGAAAGCCAGGGGAGCGAAAGGGAUUAGAUACCCCUGUAGUC
rnacentral:rRNA from 1 species